rnacentral:tRNA from 1 species
GUAGAAAUAGUUUAACCAAAAUAUUAGAUUGUGAUUCUAAGGAUAGAGAUUAAAAUUCUCUUUUUUACC